UACAGAGGGUGCAAGCGUUGUUCGGAAUUAUUGGGCGUAAAGAGCUCGUAGGCGGUUUGUCGCGUCUGCUGUGAAAACCCGAGGCUCAACCUCGGGCCUGCAGUGGGUACGGGCAGACUAGAGUGCGGUAGGGGGAGAUUGGAAUUCCUGGUGUGAGCGGUGGAAUGCGCAGAUAGUCAGGAGGAACACCGAUGGCGAAGGCAGGUCGUCUGGGCCAUUACUGACACUGAGAAGCGAAAGCAUGGGGGAGCGAACAGG
rnacentral:rRNA from 1 species